CAACACUGGUUGGACACUCUAACCGGUGUAAAAAUUUUGAUACCCUAGAUCCCUUUUCUCGGGUUACUUUUCUCUUUUGCAUCUUUCUCUCUUCAACCCCUCUCUCUCUUCUAUAGCAUAAUGUUUGUACGCGUUUGCUGCUCUUGUGGGUUGUUGCUCAAUGAAACACUCACUGUUAUUUGUUUAGAUUUUGAUAAGCACGAGUGACAAAGACUCCAUUCUCGAAGGUUUGUUUAGGGUUUCACUCUUCCUUCUUUUCCAUUUCGAUCUUCCUUCUUCGCUAGCAACAGUGAGAGAGUGAAUCUCAAUCCCCAUUGGCCAGGCUGGCAUUCAGAUCGGAAACGCCUGCUAGGAGCUUUAUUGUCUUCAACACGACAUUCAGGGCGGGAGGGUGGUGAUUUCUGAUGUGAGCAGGGACAAGAACUUGAAGGCUCACGUACUGGAGACGAAGGGUGGGAACAAGAUUGGAUUCUUUUUUUCCUCCGCGUCAAUAUCAUGAGAGGUGGGUUCGCUGGUGGCUAUUACUUUGGAGGGUGGUGACUCGUGGAAGUUGGCGUUUGCGUUAGGGGUGGUGGCGGUCAGUCCGUUCGACACUGCGAUUUGAUAGUGCGAGUUUAGUGGUCUGGAUGCUGACGGAGGUUCGUUGCUGGGUGGCGCUCUUCCAUUCCCUACUCUCUGUUCGAAGCGGUUCGUUGGUUUGAAGUGUGAGGUUGUCGCCCUAAGGCGGUUUGAAGUGGUUGCUGUUGCAGACGCUGAUGGCGGUUCGUUGGUGGCUGGUUUGCGGCUAGGGUUCUUGUUUUGGUCCUUGUAAGUGUUGUGACAGGGGUAGGGGUUGUUGGAGGUUGGCGUGUCGAAAGCGUUGCAGUGAAGUGGUGUUGGCUGAUGCGUAGUGCUCAAAUGCCACAACAAAAGGCUGUGUUUUGGCUGGAACUUAAGAACCUAAGACCUCAACUAUAUUCUAUUGCAGAAAUACUAUGAAAAGUCUUAUCUCCAUAGUGAACAGAAACAAAUUCACCAGCAGAUUCACAUCUAGUAAGGGUAGCAGCUUGUGCUUCAUUGUUUGAUAUAUUUAUAAGAUGAAGGUGCAGUGGAAACCUGAACAUGAAACACAAAUAAAAAGAAAUUUCCACAUGAAAGCAUCUCAUCGGCUGUCAGAGAUGUUUAGGGAUGCUCGUAAUGCAGCAGAGCACUCUUACUGGUUGGGCGAGCACAUUUGAAACUCUUUAUUGGCUCAUUGGAAUUCAGUAGAGUUUCGCAAUAAGUGCGCCAAAGCCCAAAGGAACAGAGCUUCUGAAAAGGGUGACACCUUGCAUACUGGUGGUUCGAUCACAAUUCAUGAGCAUGUCAUUCGUAUGGCAUAAGCUCUAGGACGGACGGUCCAUGUUGACGAGGUCUUUGCACAAACUCAUGUUCAGAAGGGCACUAAUGAAUUCGUUGAUGAAAGAUCUUGGAAGACUCAUGAAGAAUUUUCUACAAGACUUUCACAGGUUAGAUUUGAACAUGGGUUAACUCAUACACCGGAUGAUGCGAGUAAUGCAGAAGACGACAUCCGUAGGACACAGUGCUGGGUCGACAUUGUUGGUGGGAAGAAAAAUGGACGAGUGUACGGUGCAGGUCAACUUGCUGCAAACUAUACAACAUCGAGAGGAGGUACUCUGAAGCAUCAAUCUUCUUCUUCCACCACUAUUGCUGACGAGGCCGUUGUUCGCCUCGCGUAGGCAGUGGAGCAACGUGACCAGGAAAUCACUGAUUUGAGAUCAGAGUUUAGAAAUUUUAAGGCCCUGGUCAUGAGACUAUUACCUGAAACUUCACAAGAUUCGUUCAUUAUGCCUGCGACCCAACCAUGACCCUCCUCGUCACCCACCGUUCCUCAGUAGCCCACAUCAGUCCAACUCACACCAGUCCAACCAUCUAUAUUAGGAGCAGGAUGAUGAAGAUCAUUAUGAUGAUAACUAUGUACAUUAUUAGUUUUAUUUUGUUAUUGAACAUAGUUGUUACAGAAACAUUUGGAUAUUAGAACAUUUAGAUGUUAGAUCAUUUGGAUCUUAGAUCAAUUGGAUGUUAAAACAUUAUGUUA